GAGAAGGGGCGAGAGCCACAAACUCAGAAGAGCAACACUGAGCCUCGUGACAGCCUCCGUGUGAACUCACGAGGGCAGGAAGUGGCUUCUGUGCUGAGUCAUUUCUCUCCACCCAUCCUGGUUCUGCAUCGUCAUCCCCUCCAGAGACUGAGACAACAACACAGAGAAAUGAAGUAACUGCCUUGACAGAAUUCACUCUUAAAGUAUGGGGAGGAAGUGCAAGACACACUCAUCUAUAUUUUCUAUAAACAGGCACUGCUCAAGGCUUUGGAAAUACAGCAGUGAACAAAACAGAGUCCCUGCCUUCAAGAAGCUUGAGCACUGAUGGGGAGAUGAGGACAGCAAGAUGGUACCUUAACACCUUCAUUAAUAUGGAAGAAGCAAUGUGGUGUCAUAGAAUGAACAUGGGUUUUGGAGUCAGGCUGGUUAAAUCCCAGCUUGGUUCCAUUUACUAGUGGUGAUCUUUGGGAACCAGAAAAAUGAGCACCAGAGAGCAAACACUAUGACAGUCUGGAAAAAGUGUCUUUUGGGAUUCAGUCUAAAUCUGAUGCUGACUGUUUGUUAUGGGUCCUAGUUCUAAAGAGGGUGUGUGCUGGGUGAUAGACAAGGAAUCUGGUUAUGAAAAAGGGGUUUGCCUCCAUCGUGUGUAAACUAAUCUGGAUUCUGGUAUCUCAUUUCCCAAGAAAGGGAUCCAGAUGAACUGGCAGAAUUAGCUUAAUCAAACUUAAAAGACAGUUCUAAUCACAGUGACUCACCCAUGGCCAGUGCCCCAAGAGGUCCACCAUGGGAAAGUCCGUGAGCUCCUCUCAUUUUUUAUAAUAACCACAGUAAUUCUAGAAAUAAUGACUGUCCUCCCCUAAUACACAAGAUGUUUUGAGUAUUGUUACCAAAGAGCACUAAAAAUCCCUGCAAAUAUGCACAACAGAGAUAUGUACUCAAAAUCAUAAACAGACAUUUGAGAAGGAGAGGCUUUAAACCAGACAGAAAAACUGCAAGUGUAAGCUUACUAUACACUUUAAUUGUACUCUGAACAAAAACUUAUUCCUAAGAGUUAAUAAAAAAGAUUUUCUGUACCAGAAAAUGUCCUAGUAACAACUAAAUGAACCGUGUUACUGGAUCUAUAAAAACAGGAUCCAGGUAUUUUAGAAAAACCUCCGAAGGCCCAAGUAGCUUCUUUCCUAUGGGUCAUAUGGUCAACCAUUUAGUCUUUGGAAAAACAUGUAUGCAGAAGCUACAAGGGCGUAAAAAGCAGACAAAACUUGAGAAACCGAAGUUUGGCCAUAGCCUUAAGUAUAAGCAUUGAAGGCAUCUUCUCCUUGGUGAAGGGGUUAGAGACUGAAUGAAUGAGCCACAGACACUCACGCGG